rnacentral:rRNA from 1 species
ACCCGCUGAACUUAAGCAUAUCAAUAAGCGGAGGAAAAGAAACCAACAGGGAUUGCUCUAGUAACGGCGAGUGAAGCAGCAAUAGCUCAAAUUUGAAAUCUGGCGUCUUCGACGUCCGAGUUGUAAUUUGUAGAGGAUGCUUCUGAGUGGCCACCGACCUAAGUUCCUUGGAACAGGACGUCAUAGAGGGUGAGAAUCCCGUAUGCGGUCGGAAAGGCGCUCUAUACGUAGCUCCUUCGACGAGUCGAGUUGUUUGGGAAUGCAGCUCUAAAUGGGAGGUAAAUUUCUUCUAAAGCUAAAUAUUGGCCAGAGACCGAUAGCGCACAAGUAGAGUGAUCGAAAGAUGAAAAGCACUUUGGAAAGAGAGUUAAAAAGCACGUGAAAUUGUUAAAAGGGAAGGGAUUGCAACCAGACUUGCUCGCGGUGUUCCGCCGGUCUUCUGACCGGUCUACUCGCCGCGUUGCAGGCCAGCAUCGUCUGGUGCCGCUGGAUAAGACUUGAGGAAUGUAGCUCCCUCGGGAGUGUUAUAGCCUCUUGUGAUGCAGCGAGCGCCGGGCGAGGUCCGCGCUUCGGCUAGGAUGCUGGCGUAAUGGUCGUAAUCCGCCCGUCUUGAAACACGGACCAAGGAGUCUAACAUCUAUGCGAGUGUUCGGGUGUCAAACCCCUACGCGUAAUGAAAGUGAACGGAGGUGAGAACCGCAAGGUGCAUCAUCGACCGAUCCUGAUGUCUUCGGAUGGAUUUGAGUAAGAGCAUAGCUGUUGGGACCCGAAAGAUGGUGAACUAUGCCUGGAUAGGGUGAAGCCAGAGGAAACUCUGGUGGAGGCUCGCAGCGGUUCUGACGUGCAAAUCGAUCGUCAAAUUUGGGUAUAGGGGCGAAAGACUAAUCGAACCAUCUAGUAGCUGGUUCCUGCCGAAGUUUCCCU